UGGGCUUGCUACUGAAAAAUCCUUGUAUCUCAGUGGAAGUAGGCUUGCAUUUUGGCAACGAUGGAUCUAUUAUUGCUUGAAGGAAAACAAACCACCUGCCUCCACUUAUGCUUUUACUUAUAUUUCUGGACGGAGACAGAGCGAAGGGAACAAGAGCGUCAUUACGCAAGUUGCGAAGAAGCUACUC